rnacentral:rRNA from 1 species
GGGACACGUGGUAUCCUGUCUGAAUAUGGGGGGACCAUCCUCCAAGGCUAAAUACUCCUGACUGACCGAUAGUGAACCAGUACCGUGAGGGAAAGGCGAAAAGAACCCCGGCGAGGGGAGUGAAAAAGAACCUGAAACCGUGUACGUACAAGCAGUGGGAGCACCUUCGGGUGUGACUGCGUACCUUUUGUAUAAUGGGUCAGCGACUUAUAUUCUGUAGCAAGGUUAACCGUAUAGGGGAGCCGCAGGGAAACCGAGUCUUAACUGGGCGUUAAGUUGCAGGGUAUAGACCCGAAACCCGGUGAUCUAGCCAUGGGCAGGUUGAAGGUUGGGUAACACUAACUGGAGGACCGAACCGACUAAUGUUGAAAAAUUAGCGGAUGACUUGUGGCUGGGGGUGAAAGGCCAAUCAAACCGGGAGAUAGCUGGUUCUCCCCGAAAGCUAUUUAGGUAGCGCCUCGUGAAUUCAUCUUCGGGGGUAGAGCACUGUUUCGGCUAGGGGGUCAUCCCGACUUACCAACCCGAUGCAAACUACGAAUACCGAAGAAUGUUAUCACGGGAGACACACGGCGGGUGCUAACGUCCGUCGUGAAGAGGGAAACAACCCAGACCGCCAGCUAAGGUCCCAAAGUCAUGGUUAAGUGGGAAACGAUGUGGGAAGGCACAGACAGCCAGGAUGUUGGCUUAGAAGCAGCCAUCAUUUAAAGAAAGCGUAAUAGCUCACUGGUCGAGUCGGCCUGCGCGGAAGAUGUAACGGGGCUAAACCAUGCACCGAAGCUGCGGCAGCGACACGAUGUGUUGUUGGGUAGGGGAGCGUUCUGUAAGCCUGCGAAGGUGACCUGUGAGGGUUGCUGGAGGUAUCAGAAGUGCGAAUGCUGACAUAAGUAACGAUAAAGCGGGUGAAAAGCCCGCUCGCCGGAAGACCAAGGGUUCCUGUCCAACGUUAAUCGGGGCAGGGUGAGUCGACCCCUAAGGCGAGGCCGAAAGGCGUAGUCGAUGGGAAACAGGUUAAUAUUCCUGUACUUGGUGUUACUGCGAAGGGGGGACGGAGAAGGCUAUGUUAGCCGGGCGACGGUUGUCCCGGUUUAAGCAUGUAGGCUGGUUGUCCAGGCAAAUCCGGAUAAUCAAGGCUGAGGUGUGAUGACGAGGCACUACGGUGCUGAAGUAACAAAUGCCCUGCUUCCAGGAAAAGCCUCUAAGCAUCAGGUAACAUCAAAUCGUACCCCAAACCGACACAGGUGGUCAGGUAGAGAAUACCAAGGCGCUUGAGAGAACUCGGGUGAAGGAACUAGGCAAAAUGGUGCCGUAACUUCGGGAGAAGG